AGUGAACGCUGGCGGUAGGCCUAACACAUGCAAGUCGAACGGCAGCACAGUAAGAGCUUGCUCCUACGGGUGGCGAGUGGCGGACGGGUGAGGAAUACAUCGGCAUCUACUUUUUCGUGGGGGAUAACGUAGGGAAACUUACGCUAAUACCGCAUACGACCUACGGGUGAAAGCAGUGGAUCUUCGGACCUUUCGCGUCUGAAUGAGCCGAUGUCGGAUUAGCUAGUUGGCGGGGUAAAGGCCCACCAAGGCGACGAUCCGUAGCUGGUCUGAGAGGAUGAUCAGCCACACUGGAACUGAGACACGGUCCAGACUCCUACGGGAGGCAGCAGUGGGGAAUCUUGCGCAAUGGGCGCAAGCCUGACGCAGCCAUGCCGCGUGAGUGAUGAAGGCCUUCGGGUUGUAAAACCCUGUUGUUGGGAAAGAAAAGCAGCAGGUGAAUCCCCCGCUGUUCUGACGGUACCCAAAGAAAAAGCCACGGCUAACUUCGUG
rnacentral:rRNA from 1 species